rnacentral:lncRNA from 1 species
UUACAUCUAUAAACAGAUCGAUCAGAACUGGUAUGAAGGUGAACACCAUGGCCGGGUGGGAAUCUUCCCACGCACCUAUAUCGAGCUUCUUCCUCCAGCUGAGAAGGCUCAGCCCAGAAAGUUGGCGCCCGUACAGGUUUUGGAAUAUGGAGAAGCCAUUGCGAAGUUUAACUUUAAUGGUGAUACACAAGUAGAAAUGUCUUUCCGAAAGGUAAGCCACACACACACAUCUCAUCCUGGCUUUGGGGGCCCUUGGAUGAUGCUGUUUAUCUCAAAGGUGUCGGUUGCUGUGGCUGCUAAUCUGUAGCCUCAAGAACACAGUGGAUUGGUCGAAAAUUGAAAUAAGCGGAACCAGAGGUUUCCUGAGAUGAGAGUGUAUUUAUUUUGAUUCGAUGUGUGUGAAUGUGUUGCCUGCAUGUGUAG